rnacentral:rRNA from 1 species
UACGGAGGAUGCAAGCGUUAUCCGGAAUGAUUGGGCGUAAAGCGUCCGCAGGUGGCUAUGUAAGUCUGCUGUUAAAGAGUGAGGCUCAACCUCAUAAAAGCAGUGGAAACUACAUGGCUAGAGUGCGUUCGGGGCAGAGGGAAUUCCUGGUGUAGCGGUGAAAUGCGUAGAUAUCAGGAAGAACACCGGUGGCGAAAGCGUUCUGCUAGACCUGUACUGACACUGAGGGACGAAAGCUAGGGGAGCGAAUGGG